CCUACGGGGGGCAGCAGUGAGGAAUAUUGGUCAAUGGCCGGAAGACUGAACCAGCCAAGCCGCGUGAAGGACGAAGGUGCAAAGCAUUGUAAACUUCUUUUGUCAAGGGACAAAACCAGGCACGAGAGCCUGACCGAGGGUACGUGAAGAAAAAGCAUCGGCUAACUCCGUGCCAGCAGCCGCGGUAAUACGGGGGAGGCGAGCGUUCUCCGGAUGUAUUGGGGUUAAGGGGUGCGUAGGCGGACUGUUAAGGCAGCGGGAAAAGCCCGGGGCUCACCCCCGGCGCGCCGUUGAAACUGGCUGUCUCGAGUUGUCGCGACGUAUCCGGAAUGCGCCGUGUAGCGGU
rnacentral:rRNA from 1 species